rnacentral:rRNA from 1 species
GUCUACAGCCAUGCUACCCUGAACAAGCCCGAUCCCAUGUGAUCUCGGAAGCUAAGCAGGGUCAGGCCUGGUUAGCAUUUGGAUGGCAGACUAUCUAGUAAGACCAGGUGCUGUAGGCG